AAGUCGUAACAAGGUUUCCGUAGGUGAACCUGCGGAAGGAUCAUUACUAGAGCACAGGAUAGACAGCGCCCGCGGAGCUUGCUCCCUGGGGCUACCCUACUUCGGUAGGGUUUAGAGUCGUCGGGCCUCUCGAAGAAGCUCGGUCCUGAACUCCACCCUUGAAUAAAUUACCUUUGUUGCUUUGGCGGGCCGCCUCGUGCCAGCGGCUUCGGCUGUUGCGUGCCCGCCAGAGGACCACAACUCUUGUUUUUAGUGAUGUCUGAGUACUAUUUAAUAGUUAAAACUUUCAACAACGGAUCUCUUGGUUCUG
rnacentral:misc_RNA from 1 species